rnacentral:rRNA from 1 species
UGGGGAAUCUUGGACAAUGGGCGCAAGCCUGAUCCAGCCAUGCCGCGUGAGUGACGAAGGUCUUCGGAUUGUAAAGCACUUUAAGUUGGGAGGAAGGGCAUUUACCUAAUACGUAAGUGUUUUGACGUUACCGACAGAAUAAGCACCGGCUAACUCUGUGCCAGCAGCCGCGGUAAUACAGAGGGUGCAAGCGUUAAUCGGAAUUACUGGGCGUAAAGCGCGCGUAGGUGGUUUGUUAAGUUGGAUGUGAAAUCCCCGGGCUCAACCUGGGAACUGCAUUCAAAACUGACAAGCUAGAGUAUGGUAGAGGGUGGUGGAAUUUCCUGUGUAGCGGUGAAAUGUGUAGAUAUAGGAAGGAACACCAGUGGCGAAGGCGACCACCUGGACUGAUACUGACACUGAGGUGCGAAAGCGUGGGGAGCAAACAGGAUUAGAUACCCGAGUAGUCCCUGAGCGGGCUGGCAAGGCGCAU